rnacentral:sRNA from 1 species
UUAUGCAAAGUGCAAACGGAAUGUGCGG